rnacentral:rRNA from 1 species
UCGGAUUGUAGUCUGCCCAACCGACUACAUGAAGCCGGAAUCGCUAGUAAUCGCGGAUCAGAAUGCCGCGGUGAAUACGUUCCCGGGCCUUGUACACACCGCCCGUCACACCAUGAGAGUUGGAAAUACCCGAAGCCUGUGAGCUAACAGUAAUGAGGCAGCAGUCGAAGGUAGAGCCAAUGAUUGGGGUGAAGUCGUAACAAGGUACC